CGUAGGUAACCUGCCCAAGAGAUCGGGAUAACACCUGGAAACAGAUGCUAAUACCGGAUAACAACAGAUGAUGCCUAUCAACUGUUUAAAAGAUGGUUCUGCUAUCACUCUUGGAUGGACCUGCGGUGCAUUAGCUAGUUGGUAGGGUAACGGCCUACCAAGGCGAUGAUGCAUAGCCGAGUUGAGAGACUGAUCGGCCACAUUGGGACUGAGACACGGCCCAAACUCCUACGGGAGGCAGCAGUU
rnacentral:rRNA from 1 species